rnacentral:rRNA from 1 species
AUGAACGCUGGCGGCGUGCUUAACACAUGCAAGUCGAACGAAGCACUUUAUUUGAUUUCCUUCGGGACUGAUUAUUUUGUGACUGAGUGGCGGACGGGUGAGUAACGCGUGGGUAACCUGCCUCGUACAGGGGGAUAACAGUUGGAAACGGCUGCUAAUACCGCAUAAGCGCACGGCAUCGCAUGAUGCAGUGUGAAAAACUCCGGUGGUAUAAGAUGGACCCGCGUUGGAUUAGCUAGUUGGUGAGGUAACGGCCCACCAAGGCGACGAUCCAUAGCCGACCUGAGAGGGUGACCGGCCACAUUGGGACUGAGACACGGCCCAAACUCCUACGGGAGGCAGCAGUGGGGAAUAUUGCACAAUGGGCGAAAGCCUGAUGCAGCGACGCCGCGUGAGCGAAGAAGUAUUUCGGUAUGUAAAGCUCUAUCAGCAGGGAAGAUAAUGACGGUACCUGACUAAGAAGCACCGGCUAAAUACGUG